CCUACGGGGGGCAGCAGUGGGGAAUAUUGCACAAUGGGCGCAAGCCUGAUGCAGCCAUGCCGCGUGUGUGAAGAAGGCCUUCGGGUUGUAAAGCACUUUCAGCGGGGAGGAAGGCGGUGAGGUUAAUAACCUCAUCGAUUGACGUUACCCGCAGAAGAAGCACCGGCUAACUCCGUGCCAGCAGCCGCGGUAAUACGGAGGGUGCAAGCGUUAAUCGGAAUUACUGGGCGUAAAGCGCACGCGGGCGGUCUGUCAAGUCGGAUGUGAAAUCCCCGGGCUCAACCUGGGAACUGCAUUCGAAACUGGCAGGCUAGAGUCUUGUAGAGGGGGGUAGAAUUCCAGGUGUAGCGGUGAAAUGCGUAGAGAUCUGGAGGAAUACCGGUGGCGAAGGCGGCCCCCUGGACAAAGACUGACGCUCAGGUGCGAAAGCGUGGGGAGCAAACAGGAGUAGAUACCCCGGUAGUC
rnacentral:rRNA from 1 species